rnacentral:rRNA from 1 species
AUAUCAGUCAUGCAUAGCAUAUCAAUAAGCGGAGGAAAAGAAACUAACAAGGAUUCCCUUAGUAACGGCGAGUGAAGCGGGAAGAGUUCAAAUUUGAAAUCUUCAAGGUUUUACCUUGACGAAUUGUAGUUUAAAGAAGUGUUUUCUGUUGAAGUUUUGGUAAAAGUUCUUUGGAAUAGGACAUCAUAGAGGGUGAGAAUCCCGUAUUUGACCAUUACUUUCAGCUUUGUGAUACACUUUCAAAGAGUCGGAUUGUUUGGGAAUGCAGUCCAAAAUGGGUGGUAAAUUUCAUCUAAAGCUAAAUAUUGGCGAGAGACCGAUAGCGAACAAGUACCGUGAGGGAAAGAUGAAAAGAACUUUGAAAAGAGAGUUAAACAGUACGUGAAAUUGUCAAAAGGGAAGCGUUUGACACCAGUGUUGUUUUCUCGAAAAUCAAUUAAAAAGAGUUGGAUUUUGUGUUGUAUUGACUUUAUCAGCUUUCUUCACUCUUUUCCAGCUUUUUUAAUGCACUUUUCGUUUAACAAGUCAACAUCAGUUUCUUUGUUGUAAAAAGGUCAUUGGAAGGUGGCUUUCUCUUCGGAGAAAGUGUUUAUAGCCUUUGACUCAUGCAAUCGGAGAGACUGAGGUCUGCAGCGUAGAUCCUUCGGGGUUAGAUACAUUUGUGCUAAGUUAUAGCUUUUCAUAGACAACUUGUUGACUAUGUUUAGUCUUGUAGCUUACUCGCUUAUGCUAUUUUACCUACGCUUAGGGUGUUGAACUCUAUCACACACAG